GACGGGGGGGGCAAGUGUUCUUCGGAAUGACUGGGCGUAAAGGGCACGUAGGCGGUGAAUCGGGUUGAAAGUGAAAGUCGCCAAAAAGUGGCGGAAUGCUCUCGAAACCAAUUCACUUGAGUGAGACAGAGGAGAGUGGAAUUUCGAUUGUGUAGGGGGUGAAAUCGUAAAUAUACGAAGGAACGCCAAAAGCGAAGGACAGCUCGUCUGGGUCCCUACCGACGCUGGGGGUGCGAAAGCAUGGGGGAGCGAAACAGGAUUGAGA
rnacentral:rRNA from 1 species